rnacentral:tRNA from 1 species
GGGGAUUUAGCUCACUGGCAUAAGCACCUGUCUUGUGAACAGGCGGUCAUGAGUUCAAUCCCUG